UACGAAGGGAGCUAGCGUUGUUCGGAAUCACUGGGCGUAAAGCGCACGUAGGCGGCUUUGUAAGUAAGAGGUGAAAGCCCAGAGCUCAACUCUGGAAUUGCCUUUUAGACUGCAUCGCUUGAAUCAUGGAGAGGUCAGUGGAAUUCCGAGUGUAGAGGUGAAAUUCGUAGAUAUUCGGAAGAACACCAGUGGCGAAGGCGGCUGACUGGACAUGUAUUGACGCUGAGGUGCGAAAGCCAGGGAGCAAACGGG
rnacentral:rRNA from 1 species